UAUAAGUUUGGUAUACGUUUAACUCAAGCAAAUGGAGUUUUUGGAGCCUAAUGAUAAAUUUGGUAAGUUAUAGCUGAAUCUUUAGAGUUCUGCCUAUAACUUCUAUACAAGAAAAACAUAAAUCUUUAUAGCAUUAAUUUGGUAAACAAGUUGCUAUUGCUCACGGCACAGUUGCAUAAUAUUAACAAAUAAUAUUAAUAUUGAUUGAUAUAACUUACCAUUAUUUUAUAUUACCAUUUAUGUAACUUACAGUAAGAAAAAAUGUUAUUAUAUAAGAUGUUCAUGUACACACCCUAAUAUAAACUUAUUUUAUUCCACUUCUUUCUUUACACGAAAAAUUAAAAAAAUUCAAAUUGACAAAAUGCUCCAAGACAAACAAGGACGACCUACAACUAAAGGAGUUGUCAAUCUUCGCAGAAUCAUGUCCAUUGAAAAUGUUGAACAUGUAUUAAUAAGUAAGUGAUUACUACUAUUUUGAUAAAUUUUACUUUAAUCAUGUCCAUUUGAGUUUUUACUUUUUGAAUGCUAGGUAUAAUUGGUAUUGUUAUAUAUGCAAGCCCCAUCACAUUGGCCAAAGAUAAUGUCACAUACCUACAAGAUAUUGUACUAAUUGAUAAAAGUUAUGUUGACUAUAUCAAGUCAUUUCAUAUAUGGGCCGAAUGCACUGGACAAUAUUAAGGAUGCAAUUCCUUUCUUAAUAUGUGGAUUAACUGUGGAGAAGAAUAAUGGAAAUCAAUUGUCGAAUCAUUGGACGAUUAGUUGGCGUAAAUUUGGAGAGUAUGCAAUGGUGUGAUGCAUGUUUUUUUUGUAAUCAAAGAGUCAAUUUUGUGGGCCCACAAAGUAAUUGUGUUUUCUGCCGCAACAAAAAUUUGCCCCCGAAAAAAUGGUAUAGCUACAUAUGUCCCAAUUUAUUAAAAUUAUAUUUUAAACAUAAUAUUUGUUAUAACGUACUUCUUCCUAUUAUUUGUUUUUAGCAUGUCACUAAAAGUUACAAUUAAGGACAAAAGUGGAACUAUAGAUGUCACUCUAUGGGACAAGCAAAUUGAUUUUUUAUUACCGAUGUAUAAAUCGGUAUUACAAUAUGACAAUGUUGAGGACUGCAAAAUACACGUAAGAUACUUGAAACACGUAUAGGAGACGGUUUCAUUUUCUUACUACGAUCAACAAUCUGUAAUUCAAAAUUACCAGAUUUUAAGGUUAUUCACAUAACACAUGUUGAUUGGGCUGAAGAAUGUGCUUAUCUUUUUAGGGAUCGAAAUUAUGUAAACAAAAAGCAAGGAACAUCUAUCCAAGGGAGGAAACCAGAUGUGAUGAAAAUUGCUGACAUAACUAAGACUACCAAACGCAGCACAAUCAAAGGUAGAAUUAUAAGGAGUUGGUCAGUGAUGGAUUUCAAGAAGCCCGAUGUUGUGAAUAGCAUGGAUAUUGUGCUAAUGGAUA